AUUGAACGCUGGCGGCAUGCUUUACACAUGCAAGUCGAACGGCAGCGCGGGGGCAACCCUGGCGGCGAGUGGCGAACGGGUGAGUAAUGCAUCGGAACGUAUCCUGUAAUGGGGGAUAACGUAGCGAAAGUUACGCUAAUACCGCAUACGCUCGAGAGAGGAAAGUGGGGGAUCGCAAGACCUCACGUUAUAGGAGCGGCCGAUGUCCGAUUAGCUAGUUGGUGAGGUAAAGGCUUACCAAGGCGACGAUCUGUAGCGGGUCUGAGAGGAUGAUCCGCCACACUGGAACUGAGACACGGUCCAGACUCCUACGGGAGGCAGCAGUGGGGAAUUUUGGACAAUGGGGGCAACCCUGAUCCAGCCAUGCCGCGUGAGUGAAGAAGGCCUUC
rnacentral:rRNA from 1 species